UUAGCUCGUAUUUGUAUGGAAUGGGAUCGUUUGCCUACGUUUGCCGCUAGGGGCGUUGUUCCAACUGCAUACGAAAUUGGGUUA
rnacentral:pre_miRNA from 1 species